rnacentral:rRNA from 1 species
AUUGAACGCUGGCGGCAGGCCUAACACAUGCAAGUCGAACGAGUGGCGGACGGGUGAGUAAUGUCUGGGAAACUGCCCGAUGGAUGGGGAUAACUACUGGAAACGGUAGCUAAUACCGCAUACCAUCGGAUGUGCCCAUAUGGGAUUAGCUAGUAGGUGGGGUAAAGGCUCACCUAGGCGACGAUCCCUAGCUGGUCUGAGAGGAUGACCAGUCACACUGGAACUGAGACACGGUCCAGACUCCUACGGGAGGCAGCAGUGGGGAAUAUUGGACAAUGGGCGAAAGCCUGAUACAGCCAUGCCGCGUGUGUGAAGAAGGCCUUCGGGUUGUAAAGUACUUUAAGUGGGGAGGCGUUACCCGCAGAAGAAGCACCGGCUAACUCCGUGCCAGCAGCCGCGGUAAUUC